GCUGGGCUGCCGUGCAUAAGGACUUUCCUCACACUUAGUCUGUUUUUCUUUAGCCAUUUGAAGUACUGGCAUACCUUGUCAUCUUAGUUCCUCUCAUUUUCCUCUUUCCUAUUCUCAUUGUGCUUACUCUCGUCUCACUCUUAUUUUCUACUUGUAAUGGCUUUCUUAGUUUUCUCCUACAGUAAGAAAACAUAAUUCAGCUCCUUAAUACACGUCAAACCAAACUCUUCCACACCUAGUCAUUAAACCCUAAAGCCCAUUUUACCGCUGCAGGCACUGUUCCAGCUGCUGUUGAUACUUCUACUACUAAUGAUGACACCUUCCCAUCCUUGUGUCAAAGACUUUCAACUUUUGAGGCUCGUGAUAUUCAGUUAGCCAACAUUUGUAAUUCAUUUUAUGAUACAGAUCACAACUCAUUUUGAGUUCCUAAACUAAUUUAAUUUACUGUGAGAAACGUUUCAAAAAUGAUCCAAGUACAUACAAAGGGUAAAUAUUAUUUCAAUGCUGGGGACUGAGCCCAGAGCAGUGUGCACAAGCCAAGAUUUUCGGAAAGCUGCAUUUCCAACUCUCAACUGUAUUUAAAUAUGUUAAUAUUGUAUCUUCACUGUAACAGUAUCUCCAAAACUAUGAAACACCUCUCCAGGUUUACUGAUUAUCCAGGUUUCCUGGUUAUCCAGGUUUCCUGGUCUCCAGGUUUACUGGUUAUCUUCUGCUACCUAGGCACUGGCGAUCUAACACUUGAACUGUUUUUCUCACUCAUUCAUUUCAUUGGAUGAUCUGUAGAUGAUUCUAUCUUCUACCUUAAUUUGCUACUUUAUUUUUUUUUACUGCAUUUAAUAUCUCAUACACUGGCUCCAGUAAUAUUUAGAAAAUCCACAAACAUGCAUGCAAGAGUAGGUGGACCCUUCUGCCCCAACUCCCAGUGAGUUUGUCAAAGCCAGAGAAAGUAAUACUAACUAGCAAAAUCUUUUCUGGGGGUGAGGUUGGAGAGAAAGGUUUGUAAUGUGACAGCUCUAGACUUUCCAGUCACCCAUCUUGAAGAAAGUGUUCCUAGAUCAUCACUAGUACCAUUCCUAAAGUGACAAGAACAAGGGGCAUUACAACUUGGGUGUCAAAUAUAAAAAUAGAAGCAGGACAUCCAAAGCAUUCAAACUAAUGUCAUUGAGCCUGUGCUAAAAAGUCUGCGGAGUGGGUACAUGUUAGCUAGAGGAGAAUUUAAAACUGUUGGCAGUGACAACAGCAUAGCCAUCCAAUAUGUACUUACUGAUACUGGACUGCGUACUUCAAAAUGUACAGUGGCAUGCAUGUUACUACUACAAAAACCAAGAGUAUUAAAUAUGUUUCUAUGAUUAAAUAUAUUCUUAUGCUUGACUAAAUAUACAUAUUUGGCUGAAGUGAGGGGUUAUAUUUAACAGAUUAAACUUUUAAAAAUAGAAGCUAUGUCUUUUUGACUCCUUUAACAUUGUUGGUCUUUAAUUCUGAUUUAACUUUUAUGAUUGUAACUUUCUUGCUUUUUAAAAGCACUUGUUAUCUAGCUCAUUAUUUAUAAACUUUCUGUGCUAUUUUGACUAAAAUAUGCUUUUAAGUAGCAUUCAGCUGUUUUUAAUUUUCCUUAGUGCAAUUUCAAAGGACAAUGCCUUUUUCUUUUAGCACAUCAUGUUACAUUUACAUUUUCUGGGAUGACCAAUAGUAGAAAUAUUUGUGGUAUUUACUUUCCCUAUUCUAAUUAAUAGUACUUAACUGAGUGUUUUAUUCCCUCCCACCCCCCACCAAGUAAGUUUUUCUUGCUUUAAAAUUUGUUGCCUUUUUCUGCAUUUGAAAUGAGAUUUCAAUUACAAAAUAACAAACUAUUCUCAAAGGAGGGUAUGAAAACUGUUAGAUAGCUCUUGGCAUAGUACAAAGAAGGCUCUAUGAGAAGACAGACAGAGGCCCAUAGUGUCAGAAAUGCUCAUAAGAAGCUAACCUCCCCGUGGGGUGAACAGUACUGUCACACAGGGAAAGACUGGUCAGUACCUGUGUGCUGGGUGUGGCAGCACUUGAGUUCCGGUUCUACACAGCAAUAUAAUUGUUUUACAGUUAAGAGUUCUUGGUUUGCACGGAUUACAAAGUGGCUGGACCAAUUUACUGCCUUUCAAAUGCUCUCAUAGAGCUGAUGGAUGACCUAACAGACUUUAGCAGGUCCAUACUUCAGCAAUGGUGUAUAACUGAGGCUGAAUAUAUAGGUCAGCUAAAAUCCAAAUGCCCUUCUGCAUUCCUCUUACUACUAAGGUAAACAAGGUUUUUAUAACUUGCUGGAAACAAUGUAGGCAUUUAAGUAACUUUCCAUGGUCUAAACUAGAGUUCACUUUCAUUGGGAAUACCCUUCCUUGUUGUGAAAAAGAACUGAUGUUUGCCACCUUCUGUAUUACAGAAUCUGUAAGAAGCACACUGGGUGGGAUGAGGUAGCUGAAAUAGAAGACAUCAAUAUUGCCUUGAACAGGUACCUGCAAGUUAUUCAGAGGGUCUAGCUUCAUGACAGGGCCCAAAGUACUGAGAGGCAGAGACAUGAAUGUUGAUUUGGUAACAGUGGAGUAUCAUGACCAAAGACGUGCUUGGGGAGAUAUCAAAGCUGUUCUUGGUAGACUGUACUGUCACACAAUGCAGAGUUUUAGUAGAGAAGUUUAUUUCCAUGUAGAUGUACCUGUAGUGGUAUGUUAAUGUUCCCUAAAUCUCCAAGCUUUUGUCCUUUAACUCUUCCCAACCUGUGGACUGCUGUUUUGUCCUAUAGACACUGUCCUUCCCCUUAAUCCCUAUCUCAUCCACUUAGAUGCCAAGAUUCAAAUCACAGGACUUGGAUCUUCACAAAUCUGUUGACAGCUAUGAUGUUUGUGUUUAGGUGACUCUUGGCAUAACUCAGUGAAAAAAGGCAUCUGUUCCAGGUUGUAAGUCUGUAUGUACUGUAUAGGAAAGAGAAAGCAAACAUCUUCCUGACAGUCAGGGGCAAUCACUUUCUUCAUAUCUUCCUUCUUUGAGUUUGGCUUUUGAGGGGGUGGGGUGGCUUGAGACAGGGUCUCACUAGACAUCUCUGGCUGUCUUAGAACUCACUGUGUAGAUCAGACUACCUUUAAUUCCAAAGAUUUGUCUAUCAGCAUCCUCAGUGCGGAGAUUAAAGACAUGUGCCACUAUAACAGGGUGACUUUGGCUUUUAAUUUAAAAAUGUCUCCCUUUUUAACUGGUUGUGAAGUACUAGAAAUCAGUCACGAUUUGGGAUAGAACAUGCACCAGAGGCAAGGGUACGGAGGGAAUGAUAACCAGAGAGCCUAGCUUAAUAGGCUGUUCCUUUUACAAUUCUCUCUCUGGGACUAAAUGUUGUAAUUUUCAUUCAAUUUUAUUUUAUUUUUUGAUAUAUUUUUCUAUUAUCAGGCUUGAUGUACAUUUUACUUCUUUAAUUACAACAUUAUGCUUCUACAGUUUUAAGAAUUAAAAAAUUGAUUAAAUAUCAGUUAUACUUAGCCCCAAAACUUUAGAUUUAGUUACCAAAGCUUCCUACAUUUGUGUUUCUUUUACUGUACUCAGCUUCCAUUUUGUUAGAAAAAAAUCCUCAAUGAUUUGCAAUAUAGAGUUCAUAGAAAACUUAUGAACCUUUAAAACCACCAUGCUUCCAUUCUUUCUACAGAGUUCCUGUUACAUAAUAAAACAAAACUAUAAAUUUGCACGUCUCUGUUUUCUCUGUCAUAUUUGAAUCACUGCCUCAAAUGAUAGAAUUCUAGUUUAAGCUUUCUUUCAUAAAAGUCUCCUUAUAACUUAGGGAUAUGAACUAAGUUUUCUCAUUACUAUAUUGUCAUUACUUCUUUUUCAAGUUUUAUAUACUCUUGUUUGUUAAUUUGUGUCAGCAAAUUUAUUUCAAGACCCUGGCUGGCUUCCUUGGCUGACAGGGAAAGGGAGAAAUCUGUAAUCAAACAGGAUUUCUGUCAGUGAUAUGCACUAGAAGGUAUGUAAUUCUCUGCCCUUCUGUUUGCCAUAAAUUGCCUGAGCAUCCAUUUAAUUUAAUUUACUUUUUUUAUUUUAUUUUUAGGACACACUACAUAAAUCCUAAAUGCCCUGGAUUAGCAGUUCUAAGAUGAACUAGCUCAGUCCAGUGGCAGCCAUUUAAUCACGACUCCUGUUAUAUAUACAUUCACUAGCCUCCACUGUUCUCACUAGUGAGUGUCUCAGAAUUCUCUGAGAAAAGUCUAAGUUAAUAAAACGGAAUGCUUUAGUUUUGAUCAUGAAGAUAUAAGUUAUUUGUUAUAUUUUAUUGCUUUUACAGUCUUCAUCCUUUUGGAAACUGGUAAUGUCUCUCUCAUCUUGACUGAUUUGGCCUGAGGUUUUUGAUGGAGGAUUUGAUGACAUAUUUCAGUUUUUUGGGGGUGGUGGUGCAGCGAACUUUAUUAAUGGUAUUCAAGAGAGAAGGGAGGGCUCCCUAGGCCCCUCCUGCUAUUAUGGGGUUCUGGGAUAGAAAUUGUGAGGGAGAGACUCAGUGUUCGGGGCCGAGUUGGGACGGGACUCAUCAGCAGCCGAGGGCCUCUCUCUUGCUCUCAGUGUCUUUGCUGGGAUGGGGUGGGUGGUCCAGGGUUUCUUACUCCUUGGAGGUCAUGUAGGCCAUGAGGUUCACCAUCCUGUUGCUGUAGCUGUAUUCACUGUCAUACCAGGAAAUGAGCUUUAUAAAGUUGUCAUUGAGAGCAAUGCCAGCCCCAGCAUCAAAUAGCAUCAGUUUUCUUUGAAAAAAAAUUUAUUUUUAAAACAUUUUUUUAAUGUUUUCCCUAUUUGUUUUUAUAAAUACCACAUGUGUACCUGGUGCCCUGAGAGGCCAGGUUUUUGAUACUCUGGAACUGGACUUUACAGAUAGUUAGUUGUAAGUUACCAUAUAGGUGCUAGAGACUGAAUCUGGCUAUUCCAGGAGAGCGGCACAUGAUUUCACUAAGCUUCUCUCCAGCUGUAGAAUCAGUAUAUUUUCAGAUGAUUUUCUUUCCUGUGCUUUAAAAUUUACUGUCAUCAUUCUUACCACAGAAGUUUGCUUAUAGUAAUCAAUAUUCUUAUUGUAGAUGCUAAAUUUGGACAUUUACUUAUUUUUUGGACUGUAAGAUGAUGAUGGUACAGUACAGUGCUGUGGUACUCUUUAUUGACAAUCUGAAUGAAUUUGGAGACAUAGGAGACAUAUGUCUGGGAUUUUCUUUUCAGAAGACUUCUAGAGAGGUCUAACUGUAGGAAAGGCCCACUCUGAUAUGGGAGGGACUGUAUCAUUUGUAGAGUUACAAGUUGAGCAACAACAUUAAUCUCUCUUUGCUCCCUAACUGCAAGUGCAAUACAACAAAUUCUACUGCCACGUUUUCCCAUCCAGGAAGAACUGUAUUUUCACAAACUGUAAACCAAACCAAGCCUUUCCUUCCUUAAGCUGCUUUGCCAGGUAUGCUGUUAUAGCAACAAGAAAAAUAAUCAAUACAAAAGUUGUAUCAAGGGCUGGAGAGAUGGCUCAGUGGUUAAGAGCACUGACUGCUCUUCCAGAGGUCCUGAGUUCAAAUCCCAGCAACCACAUGGUGGCUCACAACCAUCUGUAAAAUGAGAUCCGAUGCCCUCUUCUAGUGUAUCUGAAGACAGCUACAGUGUACUCAUAUAUAAUAAAUGAAUAAAUAAAUCUUAAAAAAAAGGAAAAAAAAAGUUGUAUCAAGGGGUACGGAUCCUGCCUCAAUAAACCUGAAUGUAUAGUUCACAGGCCUUUGGAAGUGGUCUCUGAAAGAAAUGUGGAAGCGUUUAGAGCUAGACUAGAAAAGCUUCAGAAUGAGCUAAGCAGAGCUUCAGGAGCCAUUCUGGCCAAAGUGUAGAACAGCUGGUACUGACAGAAAAGUGAAAAGGAAAGAUUGUGCUAAACGUUUCAAGGGCAGUAAAACUAGUAGGAAUUAGAAUAAAAGUCAUUCAUAAUGCAAUGUUCAAUAAAUGUGGCUACUUUCUGUCCAUGUUUCAAGAACCUAAGUGUGACUGAAUUCAAUGACCACAGCCUAGAUUGUUUAGCGGUAAAAACUUCAAGUCAACAUAGUAUUCGGCUACUGUAUAGUAUUGCUCAAUACUUACUGCCAGAUCUAAGGAGAAUGAAGACUGAAAAAGUACAGUUUUGGGGAGGAAAGGCACAUCACUAAGCUUAAAGCUGAAGACAAGGCUGGUGUAAAGAAAAAUCACUUUAACAGAUCACAUAUUGAAACGUCAGGAAAAGUAUUCUGAACACAACAUCUAACCUACUAAAAGGCUAGCUUAUAAAAAUGAAAAUUUAUUUGAACGAGAAUGCACGUAAAAGGGCUGCAUGCCUGAAAACAACUGCCUAGUUGUUUACAUGUUUUACAUGUUUAGCCUCUAAGGCAUACUAUAGCAAUAGCAGAAGACAUCUCCAAUAGUCAGAACUUGGGAACAUCAUCCCCAUGGUGCUGGUAUAGCCAAUAUUAGGCUACACAAUAUGUGGAAGGGUAAGAUUCUCGCCACGGAGUCAUUUUGUGAAACUGUAGUGAGGUUCAAAUGGUAACAGAGAUGGUAAAAUGUUGGAGAUGCCAAGACCAUGUAAACUACAUUAAGAAAAGCUGCAGGCAAAAAUAGUCCUAGCCAAAGAGAGGUCAUAUGUGCUGCAGAAAGAAAAAAAUAGUCUACUCAAGGCUACCAAAGUCUAGGUGAUGCUACAUAGCUGCAAGACACUGAGUACAGGGUUUAGUUAUUACCCAGUUGGGUUUUAUUCUGAUUUUUUUCUUGCUAUAACCCUAUACUUACCUUUAAGAACAGAAAUGCUUAUUGUUUGCCUUUGUAUAUUAGAAAUAUAUAAUUUGCUUUAUUUUAUACAGACUUGUAGUUAAUUCUGUCAAGUCCCAGAAGAGACCUGGGAUGUCUCAAUAGCAUUGAUACUACUGAAGACUAUCGAUAGUUGGACUGAAAGCACUUUGCAUUAUGAGAUGGAUGUAACUCUUUUUUUUUUUUGGUUCUUUUUUUUCGGAGCUGGGGACCGAACCCAGGGUCUUGCGCUUCCUAGGUAAGCGCUCUACCACUGAGCUAAAUCCCCAGCCCCGAA